AAAAGACUUUCAGAACCAAGAGAUUCGUGGUCAAGAACCAAAAGCAAAAUCAUCAUAUUCCUCAGUGGAUUCAGAUGAAAACCGGUAACAAAAUCAGGGACAGCUCCAAGAGAAGAUGCUGGAGAAUGAAGCCAGGCCUGUAAGGGUUGUCACAAUGGCAAGACUUGGGGUUUAUACUGAGUCAUGGAUGGAGUUCAACAUUUUUAACCAGGAGACAUGGUAAAGGAGUUGGAACUCAAGGACUUGCCAAGCAUGUCAAGCUUGUCCUGGCCAUGCCAUUGGCUGUUGGAGACAUAAAUAAAGACAUUCAGCCGGAGCAAACGCCUGAACCUCCAUUAGUUGUUUAAAGACAGGGGACGGGCAGGGCAGUGGUGGCUCACACCUUUAAUCCCAGCACUCGGGAGGCAGAGGCAGGCAGAUUUCUGUGACUUCAAGAACUACAAGAGCUAGAUCCAGGACAGCCUCCAAAGCCACAGAGAAACCCUGUCUCGAAAAAACAAACAAACAAACAAAUAAAUAAUAAGAAAAUAAAUAAAAAGACAGGGGACGCAUCACAAAGGUCCUGUCUGGUGGCACUCCAGGUGAGCCUGUGACAUCCUGAAGCACCUUCUCUUUAGUAACUGUCUACAUUUUUUGUUUAAUAUGUAUUUGUUAAUUGUUUGUGGGGGUGGGGAUAGGUGUGCACAGGUGUGGAAGUCAGAGGACAACUUGAAGCCAUUUUGCGAAGCCAGCAUCUAUUUUUGGGUUGACCAUUUAAAGUUGGGUUUUCACAGUCAAGUAGAGGCUAUAGAACAAUGAUGCCCAGACUUUUCUCUAACGUAUAGUAAGAGCAGAAAAGAAUUAUUUCAAACUCCUCAAGUGUGCCUGACAAGCCUGGGCUUUCUCUGAAGUUCCCUUCAUAAUACUUAGAGAUAGGUAUUAUAUGGCUAUUAUGUAUAUAUAUUGUCUUAAAGUUCACCUAUUAUAAUAGUAGAUCAAUUGCUCAUUUCCUAGUCUUGUUGGCUGUAUGGUGGCUAGGAAGACAAAGGUAUUUGUCAUUAGCAGAUAGUCACCGAAGUUUCAAGAGAUAGCAGGCAUCAUGUUAGGAACUUACUUUUGAAUAGCUCAGAUAUGUGAAAAACAGGAAAGUCUGAGUGAAGGAUGUAAG
rnacentral:lncRNA from 1 species